rnacentral:rRNA from 1 species
UGGGGAAUAUUGCACAAUGGGCGAAAGCCUGAUGCAGCAACGCCGCGUGAGGGACGACGGCCUUCGGGUUGUAAACCUCUUUUGGCAGGGAAGAAGCGAAAGUGACGGUACCUGCAGAAAAAGCACCGGCUAACUACGUGCCAGCAGCCGCGGUGAUACGUAGGGUGCAAGCGUUGUCCGGAAUUAUUGGGCGUAAAGAGCUCGUAGGCGGUUUGUCGCGUCUGCUGUGAAAACCCGAGGCUCAACCUCGGGCCUGCAGUGGGUACGGGCAAACUAGAGUGCGGUAGGGGAGAUUGGAAUUCUUGGUGUAGCGGUGGAAUGCGCAGAUAUCAGGAGGAACACCGAUGGCGAAGGCAGAUCUCUGGGCCGUAACUGACGCUGAGGAGCGAAAGCAUGGGGAGCGAACA